rnacentral:tRNA from 1 species
CUAAAUAGAGCUUGAUGUAUAGCAUCCUAUUUACACUAGGAAGAUGGCUGUUCAAUUCAGCUUAUUUUGA